rnacentral:snRNA from 1 species
AAAAUCUAUCUUUCAACCAACCU